AGAGCAGCAGCAAAGUGUGCACCUGAGAGAGCCUAAAAUGUGCCUUUAAGCUGAAAAAUAAAGAAGGUCUUGAGAGCUAAGACGUUGAGAGAAUUUCAGAGAGAAUAUGUGAGGUUCUGAGCUGAAUUUAAUCUCUGAAUUCUUCAAGAUAAGUACAUUGAAUCAUUGAAGUAUUAAAGAACUUGUGUUGUUUUUCUGGUGCAAGAAGAGGGCUGUGGAGGUUCAAAAAUUGCUGUAAAGGUUUCUGGGGUUUAAACAAGGCUCAAGCAAGUGCGUUUGAGGUUUUUACAACUGUAGAAGUUGCUCACUUGUACAAAGUUGAGCUGAAGAUGCAGCAAUCAAUGGUUCAAAAGCUCAAAGUAUAGAAGACUUUCUCUUUAGUGGGCUCAACCAACUGGAUUUCAUUACAGUCAAGGAUUGAAAUUCAUCCAAGGUUAUGUGGGAUUCUCUUAGGGCUGUUUAUGAAUCCAAUGAUGAUCUUGAAGAACCAGAAACAACCAAUAUAACAAUUAAUACUAUGGAUGCUCAGUGUACCAAUGCUUUGGUUCAAUGGGAUAAGGUUGAAGAAGAUGUUUGUAUUGAAGUGCUCAAAUCUGAACUGUUAGUUUUGACUUCAUUCUCACUUAUUGUUUUUAGCUUAUUAAAGCUCAGUUCAAGGGGUAUCUUGAAGAAGAGGAGAAAGGAAAAUGAAAGCUGUUCAAUGUCUUUAACAGAUGAAAAUGAAUUUACAUAAGAUCCUGUGGUUCAGUCUAGCUACAAUACAAAGAAAUUUAAAGCUUUCAUUCACCAGAAGAAAAGACAAAGAGACUCACUGAAAAGAUGUUUGAAUUCCAAAAUGGUGUAUCCAAAAAACUCAUCCUCUCCUAUCUCACUUAGAAGAUCAACAAGUCUAAGGGUCAGUUAGGAGAUUUUUCUCAAACAAAAAUUGAAUUCUGGUGUUAUACACAAAAGUGUUUUUGCCAAAAAGACUCUUCAGGAUCAGUCAAGAGCUACAAAGGGUGAAGAUCGUAGUAAGUUCUUAAUGCUUCCCAUUGUCCUCAAGUCCAUCAAUACAUGUCGUUUAAACCCCAGGAUUAGUUACAUGUCGUUUAAGGCUUACUCAAUUCUCAAUGAGGAAGAAGAAACAUUCUGAUAAGUACCUCUCUAAAAAAUCCAAAGAAAAAAACUUUAUGGACGCAACAUCCUCAAAACCACCUCCUCUUAGAGACAGGGAUUUUCAUGAUCAUUGCUCUAAUAUUAUUGUUUGUCAACUUCAAAUCUCCUCAAGGCCACGUCCUCUUAGAGACAAGUUGCUUCAUAAUCAUUAUAUGUUUCUUUAUGCUAAAUGAUGUCUCUAAUAUCUAUUUUUCAAGGGUUAAUAGCACCUAAAAAUAUGUUCUGGAAUUCCUACAUGGUUAUUUCAAGUACAAGUCAUCAUUCACCAUAGAAAGUAACCUAGAAGAGGUUCUUAAUGAUGAACUUCAUACAAGGGCUAUUUGAGCUGAUUUGUUGACUAGAAAUUGAAGUUGAGGGGAGCUAAACCUGCUGUGAUUGAUCCUAAAGCUGAAACAAGUUUGAGCAAAUGUGCAUUACCAUUUUAUAACUGCUUAGAGGGUUUUCAAAUUCACAUCACUGCUGAAGUAAGUUUCUGUUUAUCAAACCUGCUGUGUUCAGUUGUUUUGCUGUAAUAAAAUCUAUUAAAUGAACUGUGAAUGUGGUUAUACUUCUGUGAAAUAAGUCUUCAUGGUCUGAGCAUAUUUAGUUUAUUGAUUUGAGGCUGUCUAAGUUCAAAUUUAGCCUGAGAAAUGACUUGUUCAGAUACUGGUGUUAUGAACUACAUUAGCUCAAGUUUACACUUGUUUACAAGGUUGGUUUAGGUGGAGUUAGUUCAAUAAAUUGUUGUACCUGGUGCAUUACUUUGCUGAGCAAGUGUAUACAGUUGAUUUACAUUUGAGAGAACCAAAGUCCAGAGGUUGGUAGUGUUGAAAUCCCAGAAUUACCCUCAUAAUAUUGUUGCUGCAGAAAUAGACUUAUGAAGCCAUCUUUGAAUUAAAAAAUUGAUUUUGACUUGCUUUAAAAUGAGAAAUGAUGAUUUGAUCAAGUGUAGUAUGUUGAUUCUGAGCUGUGAGAACUAUGAUAAAAAAGGGCUAAGUCACUAAUUUACAAGAUCAACCUUUAAACUUGAAUGUAUCAGUUGUAGCAAAUACACCUGUUGUAGGCCUGUAUUUUGCUGUUGUUUGUGCUAUAUUGUUGUGCCUCUGUGUGUACAUCUUGUCCCUACUGUAGAACAAGUUUAAUUCAUCAUAUUCAAGCUGAGGGAGCCUCUGGUUGUUGAGAAUUUGAGCUACAUCAAGGUUGUGUUUGGCAAAACUGAGUUUUAAGGUUUUAACCCUAAAAUAGCUACUGAGAUUAUAUACAUUGUUAUACCCUGUUGUAUUUAACGUGUUAGAUACAUGAGCAAGUGUAUUUGGGCUAUUGAAGACUGGGGGAGUAUUGUUUGGGUUGCCUCUGAAGCUGAAUCAUAAUUUUACCCUUGAAAGCUUGAAAGCUAGGGUUUUGAAGACUACAAGACUGAUGUGGACUGAAAAUAUUUUCAUUCAUGCCUCUCUAUGUGAAAUUGUUGAGUGGCUUGCUAAUUUAUCUUCAAAGGAGUCCUUUUCAGCUCUUAACUCAAGGAAAAUUGUUGUAAAGACCCUGAAGCCAUUUUGCACCCUAAGCACUAUUGAAGGCUCAAACACGUUAGAAUUGAUUUUUAUCUCUUAGUAUGUUGCUCAGUACCUCAGGUUCACCAUUUGAGCAUCUACAUGUCAUUAUUCAAAUGCUAUGUAUGCCCUUGAAGGGCCUGUUUUGAAAAAUUCUUGAAAAAUAGCAGCAUUCUCACCUAUCUAACAAAACCAUCAUCUGUUACUAAAAUUGUUCCUUUGCCCCAUAUAAUUGUUGGUCCCUUAUCUCUUUAUAUUGAUCCCUCAAAUGAAAUUGGUCCUCCUAGCUGCACUGAAUGCUCAUUUGGCCCAUUUGAUUUUCAAUGUCAAAAAGGGGGAGAAGACAAGCUUUUUGUCAUUAAAAGGCAAAAAAGGGAGAUUGUUGAUGUGGUUUGCUCUUUGAAUGAUAAAUAUUAGUCUUAGCUAAAUGGUAUCACCUAUCUUGAGGUUUGUUCUUGAAAACAAGUCUUAUAGGGUAAGGACUAUGGAGUAUGACAUCAAUUUCUCACAUAUCUCACAGGGGAAUAUUAGUCUUUUUAUACAUGGGAGUAAUCUUGUUGCACUUGUCUUUGAUACUAUAUUGCACUACAUAUAUUAUCCUAAGGGUUGAAUUACAAAUUCAAGGGCUCCAGCAAGCAGCAUCAGAUUUAUUUGACAAGUGUCAAUUGUGAAGGGCAAUUAUGUUAUCUCAGCUACAUUCUCAGGGGUAUUUUGAUCAAUCUAAUCUGCAGUGUAUGAUUGAAACAUUUUCCAAAGGUGCAUUGUAUCUUUGUUUUAGAAAAAUUUACUGAAUAUCAUCAUUUUGCUUGUAUACACAAAGUGUAUCAUUCCAAGGGCAAUUCUGGUACUUCAUUGAUAUCUCAAGGCUGUUAAAGGACUCACAGCAAUGUGCCACGUGCACAGUUGUCCUGGUGAGAGAAAUAUAUGUACAGAAAUACAAUUCUUAGCUGUAUACUUUAGCAUUGUACAUUGACCUUUGAGGGUUGCAGAAAAAGUGGUUGUUGUGCCACAAGCUAGGGCUGUACAGGGAUUGUUUGGUCUAUUCAUGGUAUAUAAUUUUUUUUAUAUCUCUAUCUAUGAUUGGCUUAAAGGGGAAUAUUCUUAUCCACACUAGGGCAGUAAAUUCAGUGUAUCAAUAUAUUGUUAUAGAGCAACAACAGAGUGUGUACCUUAGAGAGCCUAAAAUGUGCCUUUAAGCUUUAAAGAAGGUCUCGAGAGCUAAGAUGUUGAGAGAAUUUCAGAGAGAAUAUGUGAGGUUCUAAGCUGAAUUUAAUCUCUGAAUUCUUCAAGAGAAGUACACUGAAUCACUAAAGUAUUAAAGAACUUGUGUUGCUAUUUUUCUGGUGCAAGAAGAGGGUUGUGAAGGUUCAAAAAUUGCUGUAGAGGUUUCUGGGGUUUGAGCAAGGCUCAAGCAAGUGCCUUUGAGGUUUUUACAACUACAGAAUGUGCUCACUUGUACAAAGUUGAGCUGAAAUCUCCGUACACAGACGAAACAAGUAUAUGAGAACCUUGUUCAGGCCUGAGACCAUGCAGAAUACCAUUUAUACCCUCAGAGCAUAAGCAACACAGUAGCAUCAGAACUGAACCUGCAGUAAGCUCUUCAUUACUGAUUUUGUGCUUUAUAAUUCUAAUCUUGCAAUGCUAAGUAAGAACAAUAAUUGUGCAAGUAUAUUAUGGUUAUGUGAAGCUGUGGGAACCUGAAUUAGCUUAAGUAUCAGGUGGUUUGACAAAAUUACCCCUGUUGGCUUAAAGACUAAGGUUUAAUGUGUUCCAAGCCUUUUGUGAUCUAAGAUUGUCUUAUCUUGCUCUAUUCAAUGUUUCAAACUAUUGAGCAUGUUUGUUUGAAGAUAUAAAGGGUGUGGAAACAGAAGAAGGGUCAGUAUUGAAACUAAUCACUAAAGUGAUAAAUUUACCCUUGAAGAGGGUUUGAAGCCUUAUAAGCAGCAAGCUGUUGUGUACUUGCUGUUUGUGGUCCUAGAUUGAUUUAAGCAAACUUAUUUGGCUUAGCCAAGGCAGAGGGAACCUAGUGUAUACUUCAGGUGAAGUUGUAUUGUGCUGUUGGAGGACUAACUCAUUGAUUCGAGUUGGAUAAAAGCUAGGGUUUCACUUUGUUCUCACUUAAGGCUGUGUAUUGCAUUCCUACAUUGUGUUGCAGCUUAAGUGCAUUAUACUUGGUGUAUUAACACUUCAUUGUAAAUGGUAGUGAAUCUUUGAUACCUCACCCCAUUGUUGAUAAAGCUAUUGAAAGCUUUAGGGUCCAAGCAAGGUUGCUUUGGAUAGGGGGAGUGCUUGUGUGCACAUUGGUAAGCUAAUGUGUGAGUAUUGGUUGUGAAAACUAGUGUCUAUUAUUGUACAAGGGUGUGUGCAGAGAGUGAGAUAGCUGAGUGUGUAACAAGGUACUUCCAACUAGUGGAUGAUUUAUUGGCUGAGGCCAAGAACUAAAGUUUUUCCCUAUUGAGAGGGUUUCCUUGUA